AGUCGUGUAGCUCCAAUUGGCAGAGCAGCGGAUUCCAAAUCCGCGUGUUGGGAGUUCGAAUCUCUCCACCCCUGCCA
rnacentral:tRNA from 1 species